rnacentral:rRNA from 1 species
CACGUAGGGCGCAAGCGUUGUCCGGAAUUAUUGGGCGUAAAGAGCUCGUAGGCGGUCUGUUGCGUCCGCUGUGAAAACUCGGGGCUUAACCCCGAGCCUGCAGUGGAUACGGGCAGACUAGAGGUAGGUAGGGGAGAAUGGAAUUCCCGGUGUAGCGGUGAAAUGCGCAGAUAUCGGGAGGAACACCGGUGGCGAAGGCAGGUCUCUGGGCUGACACUGACGCUCAUGCACGAAAGCGUGGGGAGCAAACAGG